rnacentral:lncRNA from 1 species
AUUUAUGACUUUGUUCAUUAUUGUUUGUAUAAUAGUUUCAGUGAUGAAGUUAAAAAAUAUUUUAAAGAAAAUAAAAGUAAUGAUUUGAAACAAAAUAAACAGAUUACAAUACAAAAUAUUACCAAUACAGCUAUAGAUAUAAAUAUCUUUAACAAUAUAUUAAAGUAUACAUUUUUGGAUGGAGGUGAGUACUGUUAUGUAUAUAAAAAUGCAUUAAAAGGUUUUAAUAAUAGUAUAAAGCGAAAAGAAAAUGGGAGUAAAAAAAGAAGAAGUAAUAGUAACAGUAGUAGAAAUGGCACACAUAGUAAUGUCAACUACGAAACUGCUAAAUACAUGUAUUAUAAUAAUAACACAUUUUUGCAUAAUAAAAUUAUUUAUUUGAAAUGUAUUAAAAAGGAAGAUUAUAAAACAAAAUUAAGAAAACGAAAAAAAGGUUAUAUGUACGGGUUUGAAACUGAAAGUCACAUUGUUACUAGUUGUAGUAGCUGUAGCAGUUGUAGCGGUUGUAGUGGUUGUAGCGGUUGUAGUGGUUGUAGCGGUUGUAGCAGUUGUAGCAGUUGUAGCGGUUGUAGCAGUUGUAGCGGUUGUAGCAGUNNNNNNNNNNGUUGUAGCAGUUGUAGCGGUUGUAGCAGUUGUAGCGGUUGUAGCAGUUGUAGCAAUAGUAACAGUUAUAGCAAUAGUAACAGUUGUAGCAAUAGUAACAGCUGUAGCAAUAAUAACAGUUGUAAUGGUAAAAUACGUUUGUAUAAAAGUAAAAACGGAAGCAAAAAAAAAAUCAUUAGUAAAAUCAACAAAAACAAAAAUUGUACCAAUCUUAACAAGAGCAAGAGAAAGAGCAAGCACAAACGUAACAAGAAAAAUAACAUGCCUUCCGAAAUUAAUAAUAUUAUUAAAAAUAUUAUUUGUUUUAUAUUAAACGAAAUGUUAUUUAUUAAAAAGGAAGAUAAAAGACAUGAAAUAAUGACAAACUUAUUAAUUUUAUUUAUUAUGAAAGAAGAUAAAUAUUUAAAAAAAAAAAUUUUGGAGAAAAUAAAUUAUUACGCUAAAAAGAGUAAAGUGAAUAAAACAUAUAAUAAUUAUAAUGUUAAUAAAGGGAAUAAUAAUAAAAAUACGAGUGCACAUAUAUAUACAUAUAUUGAAUUAUAUUUAGAUAUUUUUAUGCAAGUACCCCAUCUUACUAAAAAUAUUUUUAUAGAUAUAUUUAAAAGUAUGACAUUGUUAGAACAUAAUAAUAAACAUAUUGAAAUUAUGUAUAUAUUUUUUUUAAAAAAUUUUGAAAAUAUUCAAUGUCCUUCCACUUUGUAUAAUAUAAUACAUAUGAAUCGAACAAAUAAAGAAACAAAUUUUAUAUUACCAAACAAAAAUAACGCAAACGUAUUUAUAGGCAAUGAUGUAAUACAAUUAUCAUUCGAAAAUACUAGUGAAGACACAUGUACAACAUAUACAAGAGAUUCAUCAUUAAAUUCAAACGUUUUGAAAAGAACACGAAUGGAUGGAUUAUUUUUUAAUAAUAUUCGUCAAACGAAGUUGUACCAAGAAAAACUGGAAAAAAAAAAAAUAAGUAACAGUGGUAAUAAAAACAGUAGUAAUAAAAAUAGUAGUAUUAAAAAUAGUAGUAAUAGAAAUAGUAGUAUUAAAAAUAG